rnacentral:rRNA from 1 species
CGGCACGGUGAGUAACGCGUAUGCGACCUGCCCGUUGCAGGGGGGAUAAUCGGGAGAAAUCCCGUCUAAUACCGCGUAACGCCGCGGGGCUGCAUGGCCCUGCGGCCAAAGGGAGCGAUUCCGGCAACGGAUGGGCAUGCGUGACAUUAGCUAGUUGGCGGGGCAACGGCCCACCAAGGCGACGAUGUCUAGGGGUUCUGAGAGGAAGGUCCCCCACACUGGUACUGAGACACGGACCAGACUCCUACGGGAGGCAGCAG